rnacentral:rRNA from 1 species
GACGAACGCUGGCGGCGUGCUUAACACAUGCAAGUCGAACGGAAAGGCCCUGCUUUUGUGGGGUGCUCGAGUGGCGAACGGGUGAGUAACACGUGAGUAACCUGCCCUUGACUUUGGGAUAACUUCAGGAAACUGGGGCUAAUACCGGAUAGGAGCUCCUGCUGCAUGGUGGGGGUUGGAAAGUUUCGGCGGUUGGGGAUGGACUCGCGGCUUAUCAGCUUGUUGGGGGGGUAGUGGCUUACCAAGGCUUUGACGGGUAGGCGGCCUGAGAGGGUGACCGGCCACAUUGGGACUGAGAUACGGCCCAGACUCCUACGGGAGGCAGCAGUGGGGAAUAUUGCACAAUGGGCGGAAGCCUGAUGCAGAAACGCCGCGUGCGGGAAGACGGCCUUCGGGUUGUAAACCGCUUUCGCCUGUGACGAAGCGUGAGUGACGGUAAUGGGUAAAGAAGCACCGGCUAACUACGUG